rnacentral:lncRNA from 1 species
AAAAAAAUUGUUACAUUGAUUAGUGUAAAAGAAAAUUUUGAAUGAAAAAAUAAAAAAGCUGAAAAAAUAAUAUUGAGCCAAAAAAGUGUCAAGUAGUUGUUUUUACCUUUGUUUCUUGUUUUCUUCUCAUUUUUGUUUGUAUCUUUAUGUAUCCUGAAAGGAAAAAACAUAUUAUUGCAUUAAUUAGUGAAAAAUAAAAUGAUAACAAUGCUUUUGAUAAGUAUGUGGUGCUGCUGUUUUUUGUUUAAUGAAAAAGAAAUUAGUGAAGAUUGAUAUUCAUUUGCUUGACUUUUUAUUUAUUUUUGGAGAAGUGCAUCUUCUAAGCUCUUAUAUAUUUUCUGCAACAAAUUUUUUUUUCAAAAAUAAUUGUUAUUAGUUGUUUUUAUUCUAUAGAAUCAUUGAUGUAAAGGAAAGUUGAAGAAAAAAUAUGUUUGUUAAAAACAUGAUAUAAAAGAUAGAAAAAAUAGAUGAACAAAGAAAAUGCGAGUUUUUUUAGGACAUACCUUUGUGAAGAUUUCAUUUUCUUUUAUUCUUCUUUCUCUGCAAAAUAAGAAGAACAAACAUUAGUAGUAAGGAAAAAAUAUGCAGAAGAAAAGAGAAAAUGAAAGAGAAGAUAGAACAUGANNNNUUGGACAGUGUGUAAAUAGCUUAUGAAAUACCAGAUAUAACCUUGCUUUUUGAAAUUUAUCAUGCAACUUUUGAGUGGUAGAGAACUCCAAUUUUGUGGGGUUAUAAGGCAAAAAAACGGAAAAGGGCAAUGGGCAAUUUGGGGAGAGUUGCAGAAAAGCUUUGAGGAGCAUUGUGGAGCUUAUGUGCCAAAUAUGACAAAAAUACCCCCAAUUAUUCAAAACGCAAAAACCAAAAAAUUAAGGGUGAGAGGGACAAUUCAGUCUUUGAUUAGUAGUUGAUAGUUGAUAUUAUUUAACAAGCCUGCAGAUAUGAAAUUAUUAGAUCGGGAAAUCCAUAUUUAACACUCUUAUCG